AUUGAACGCUGGCGGCAUGCCUUACACAUGCAAGUCGAACGGCAGCACGGGGGCAACCCUGGUGGCGAGUGGCGAACGGGUGAGUAAUACAUCGGAACGUGCCCAGUCGUGGGGGAUAACUACGCGAAAGCGUAGCUAAUACCGCAUACGAUCUACGGAUGAAAGCGGGGGAUCGCAAGACCUCGCGCGAUUGGAGCGGCCGAUGGCAGAUUAGGUAGUUGGGAGGUAAAGGCUCACCAAGCCUUCGAUCUGUAGCUGGUCUGAGAGGACGACCAGCCACACUGGGACUGAGACACGGCCCAGACUCCUACGGGAGGCAGCAGUGGGGAAUUUUGGACAAUGGGCGCAAGCCUGAUCCAGCAAUGCCGCGUGAGUGAGGAAGGCCUUAGGGUUGUAAAGCUCUUUCGCACGCGACGAUGAUGACGGUAGCGUGAGAAGAA
rnacentral:rRNA from 1 species